UCGGGAAUUUUGGGCAAUGGGGGAAACCCUGACCCAGCAACGCCGCGUGAAGGAUGAAGUAUUUCGGUAUGUAAACUUCGUAAGAAUAGGAAGAAUAAAUGACGGUACUAUUUGUAAGGUCCGGCUAACUACGUGCCAGCAGCCGCGGUAAUACGUAGGGACCAAGCGUUGUUCGGAUUUACUGGGCGUAAAGGGCGCGUAGGCGGUGUGUCAAGUCAGUUGUGAAAUCUCCGAGCUUAACUCGGAACGGUCAACUGAUACUGUCACACUAGAGUACAGAAGGGGCAAUCGGAAUUCUUGGUGUAGCGGUGAAAUGCGUAGAUAUCAAGAGGAACACCUGAGGCGAAGGCGGGUUGCUGGGCUGACACUGACGCUGAGGCGCGAAAGCCAGGGGAGCAAACGGGAUUAGAUACCCAGGUAGUCCCUGAGCGGGCUGGCAAGGCGCAU
rnacentral:rRNA from 1 species